rnacentral:rRNA from 1 species
GGAGAGGGAGCCUGAGAAACGGUUACCACAUCUAAGGAAGGCAGCAGGCGCGUAAAUUACCCACUCCCAGUUCGGGGAGGUAGUGACGAAAAAUAACAAUACAGGACUCAUAUCCGAGGCCCUGUAAUUGGAAUGAGUACACUUUAAAUCCUUUAACAAGGACCUAUUGGAGGGCAAGUCUGGUGCCAGCAGCCGCGGUAAUUCCAGCUCCAAUAGCGUAUAUUAAAGUUGUUGCGGUUAAAACGUUCGUAGUUGAAUUUGUGCUUCAUACGGGUAGUACAACUAUAAUUGUGGAUUGUACGUUACCUUAUGUAUGCAAGCGUAUUACCGGUGGAGUUCUAAUAUAUAAUGGUGCAUUGUAUCAUUAUGUAUACCUCCUAUUUAAACCUGCUUCAGUGCUCUUCAUCGAGUGUUGUUGUGGGCCGGUACAAUUACUUUGAACAAAUUAGAGUGCUUAAAGCAGGCUCCAAAUGCCUGAAUAUUUUGUGCAUGGAAUAAUGAAAUAAGACCUCUGUUCUACUUUCAUUGGUUUUUAGAUCAAGAGGUAAUGAUUAAUAGAAGCAGUUUGGGGGCAUUAGUAUUACGACGCGAGAGGUGAAAUUCUUGGACCGUCGUAAGACUAACUUAAGCGAAAGCAUUUGCCAAAGAUGUUUUCAUUAAUCAGAACGAAAG